CCCCUGCUCUCUAAUGUUCUCCACAAGAAGCCUGCAGGCCCUCAGGAACCUUCCAGAAGCCUUCCAGCUCCCGAGUGCCGUCACAGCGCCGGGUUUGGAGGAGGACGGAAUUGAGGAGUUCCUCUCUGGAAGAACUUCCUUCAGUUGGGCUUGUCCAGCCUAGAACUCCACGCAGGUCCUUCUGUAGCUCCUCCCUCCUGGUCCGUAGACAUGAUCAUCAGGCUGGGCAGACUCACACCUGGAUACUUCCGCCUCCUCCAGAGGCAGGUGGCGGGCGAGGUGCAGACCCAGCCCCAAGACCGUGCCGUCAACCAGAUAGCCAUGAUGCUGGCCAUCAUGGGCCUCAGCCUGUCCUACUACAGCGCCAAGCAGAUGACGGAGAAGGUGCACGCCCACCCUGCCAACUGAAAGCACCUUUUCCCCUCCCGUAGAACUAAUGAAGGCUCGGUCAUGCCCUUAGUGGGCGGCCCAUUAGUCGUGGCGAGGGUGCAUGCUAGCAAGGUAACACAAUACUGUUAAUAAUGCAAAUACUUGAAGUCUGCCAAGGUGUGCUCAAAGCAAGACGGCAGCAAAACAAACAGUAAUGCCUUUUAUUUUGAAAGGAUAGCUUAUCGGUGUUGGAGAUGCUCCUUUGAAACGAAGUGAUGGCCGUCCCACAGCCUUGUUGGUAACGGGAUGCAAGUACAAAUCAACUUUUGUGUGUUUUGAGGACAAACAGCUGCUGUAUUUUGUGAAAAGUGGGGGGAGGGGGGGUUGAAUAUUUGCACAAUCUGCAAAAAGUUAUUUUUGUAGAGUAAAAAAACUUUAGCGCCUCAAAGGGAUGUUGGAACAUGUCACUACCUUUUUUUUUUGUUUGUCACCGGUAUGAAGUGUUCUUGCAAGACGUGACAAGGGAAGUGUUUUGCACGUCGGCGUGCCCACUUUUAAUCCAAAAUGAAAGGAAGUGAGUUUUUAUGAAUGUACCACCUUUAUUUUGUAUGAUCAUGUGUGUAAUAAAGCUGUGAAUCUUUUGCAA